UCCCUUGUGGCUUAGUUGGUAAAGAAUCUGCCUGCCAUGAGGGAGACCUAGGUUCGAUCCCUGGUUUGGGAA
rnacentral:tRNA from 1 species